GCAGUGAGGAAUAUUGGGCAAUGCCCGUAAGGGUGACCCAGCAACGCCGCGUGGAGGAUGAAAGCCGUAAGGUUGUAAACUCCUUUUGAAGAGGAAGAAAAUUUUCGAUCGAAUCGAAACCUGACUGUACUCUUAGAAGAAGCCCCGGCUAACUACGUGCCAGCAGCCGCGGUAAUACGAAGGGGGCUAGCGUUGCUCGGAAUUACUGGGCGUAAAGGGCGCGUAGGCGGACAGUUUAGUCAGAGGUGAAAGCCCAGGGCUCAACCUUGGAAUAGCCUUUGAUACUGACUGUCUUGAGUACGGGAGAGGUGUGUGGAACUCCGAGUGUAGAGGUGAAAUUCGUAGAUAUUCGGAAGAACACCAGUGGCGAAGGCGACACACUGGCCCGUUACUGACGCUGAGGCGCGAAAGCGUGGGGAGCAAACAGGAUUAGAUACCCUAGUAGUCC
rnacentral:rRNA from 1 species